rnacentral:rRNA from 1 species
CCUUACGGGGCGCAGCAGGCGCGAAAACUUUACAAUGCUGGAAACAGCGAUAAGGGGACCUCGAGUGUCAGGUUACAAAUCUGGCUGUCGUGAUGCCUAAAAAGCAUUGCAUGGCAAGGGCCGGGCAAGACCGGUGCCAGCCGCCGCGGUAACACCGGCGGCUCGAGUGGUAACCGUUAUUAUUGGGUCUAAAGGGUCUGUAGCCGGCCGGAUAAGUCUCUUGGGAAAUCUAGCAGCUUAACUGUCAGGCUUUCAGGAGAUACUGUCUGGCUCGAGGCCGGGAGAGGUGAGAGGUACUUCAGGGGUAGGGGUGAAAUCCUGUAAUCC